UAGUUGGUUAUCAAACUACAGUUUAUUUGCCUUGAAGUGACAUACCUCAGUUUCAGAGUAAACCACACCACUGUAAGGUUGGUGUGAACAGGGGCCAAGUCCAGGUUCCUAAUACUGCUUUAGUAGCUUUUCCACAUACACAUUGCUUUAGUAUCCUCCAGACCAGCUGUCUUCCUCCUGUUCAUGUUGGGAUAUACCGAUAGCAUCUGUUUGCUGCAGCUCCAGGUUUUGCAGAAUUAGACCGCUAAAACUGACCAUCCCCCUGUAUUUCCAACAAAGAUUCUGGACCCUUUCGCCUUGAAGAGAUAAGUGCCCAUAUUUAGAUCAUGUUCCCAGUAGCAAGGAGAUCAAUGGCACCAUCCAGCACUAGGUAGUUGAACAAAUCUCCAGGAAAGAGGUAAUUCAGGGAUGUGUAUCACAGUCAAGAAACCUGAUGCAGAUUUAUUAAGAACACCAAAUACAAAAGCCUUCAGAAAAUUAUCCCCAGGACAUGUGUGCUGCGUGAGAUUGAGCUGAAGUUGGCAGAGAGGCUCUUCUGGAUUGGUGAGCAUUGUGGCCAGACUAAAGCAGAAACAAACUGGAAGCUACGCGGGCACUUAUGGACUCUUAACUAGAAGAUAAAUUCUCUGGACAGCCAAGACUAUUUUAUGGAAGAUCAAAUAUGAUGCCUUCCAGGAAAAUAGAUUGAUAGUCCUGCAGAGGGAACCUCAUUUGCAUCUUGCAUGGCUCAGCCCACAGAGGAAGGGAUGUUACUAAUCGUUUGGUAAACCUGAGGAAAGAGAAGGCAAACAUCCUUCUUCAUCUCUAGCCUUAUGAAGGGAUUCCAGCGGCAGGCAAAGUGCCCAAAGAAAGGAAGUUUGUGUCGCAAGACAAGCUCGAAAGCAAAGGCGUGUGUGACAUGCUGAGACAUUGUCAAGGGAUCAAAUGGAAAAGUUUGAAAGAGAAAGGGACAUAAAGGAAAAGACCAUUGGACAUGAUGCAAAAGCUGCUAAACAUGCUGGAGAACUGUUUCACUUUGGUCAUGUGUAACAUCCUAAAGCAAUCCAGUCCUGUAGCCUUUCAUUCUUCCGACUGAAAGCCUUAGGCAGUCCCUCCAGGUGUUCCACCCAAAGAUGAGGGAGCACAUAUGGUCCCACUUGCACAUCUCUGAACCCCUUAUAAAAGUGUAUCCAGCCUCCACAUUAGGUCUUGUGUCCCAUUUUAGUUCUUUCCAUGUGCACUCUCCUCUUGUGCUAAAGCAGCCAUUUUAGUUAUAAUCUGCACUUAACUGGAAAGAAAUACAAGAAGCGUAGGUCUUCCUAAUAAGAGCCAUUUGUAAUAAAAUUGAAGUAAGCAAACUGUAUAUGAUACAUUGUAUUCGUUUUGUUUAUUGCACUGUCAUAAAGUUUCUUCUGUAUCUUUGCUCGUAAAACACAAGCACAGAAUUUCUGUGAACCCAGUUCCUUCGAUCUCAGAUACCUGCAUAAGGGAGAGAUUAGCCAUUCAGAAUAUUCCAAACUUUGUUUUUUUCAACUCUGAUCUGUUCUCUUAGAUGUUGUGAUGUUGGAGAAAACUCAGCACACACAUGAGGCAGGUGUUAUGGCAGGGUAAGUAACCUGUGGAGUGGGUGUAAGAGGGCAUGUGGUCAGACUUGGAAUAGCACAGGGGCAGGUUGCAUUUGGUAAAAGCCAAAAACGUCUCCUUUGCUCCAGGCAGAACACUGCUGGUAGGCAAGUUGGCAACAUCUUGGCUCUUUGAAAAACAACAUUUCCCAAUAUGCUUCAUCUUCUAAGUUGGAGGAAGAAAGAGGGAAUGUCUGGUGCACCAUUCUUGGAAGCUUGCCAGUCCCUGCCUUUGAGCAGGCUCCAGCCUGUGAUUAAACACCUCUGCUUUCCUUUCUGUCUUCCAAAUGUUCACUGAUCAUUCUGCCUCAGCCAAAGAUAUUUAAAUGUCUAGAAAAGCUGCUGAAAAGCCAAGGAAGCAAAGACACAGUCUUACAAUAUUGUAUUUAGUACUACAAUGGCAUUUAGAUCCCAUCAUGUUUAAGUGAGCAAAAGCUUUGUGUUUUAUUUCAUAAAACAAAUUUUCCCCUAAAAAUGCUGGCAGAAUCUUUUCCAGGCCUUUCCAUGUAAAUGUUCCCAAAGUUCCUACAAAAUACAACUUGAUACGCAUUCUUGCCAAGCAGAAAAGGUCUGGUUACCAGAGUCUUUAGAAAAAUUGUUUCUAGCCUGUACAACAGGAGGGGAAAACCUCUUGCUCUCCUAAACUUUAUUAGAAAAACACGCUAGUGAACUGAAACCUGGUUUGGAGGACUAAUGACAGCAGUGUGAUUCUGGUGAUAGCCCCUGGUGUAUGAAGCUUUCAGAAAUGUUAGGCUUAUCAGCUCUGAUCUGGGCCCAAGGGCCAGUAUAAAUAAAUGCACACUGUUGUGAUAAUCCUGGCAGUUCUUUUUCACCUACAAGCCAACAUGGAUGAAAACAAGUUAUCAUGGUAUAGAAAACUGCACUGAUUUUUAUGAGGUAAUGACUGUCACAGAACUGUCCCAUGUUACUUCUAGACUGACUUCAAAGGGUGCUGCAAGAGUGAUCUUCACCUUGUAGUUACAAACUGAUACUGCUGUCCUUUUCUCCAAAUCACCAUUUGAUUUGAGGUUAUUGAAUAUUUCCAGGCUGCAGAGUUGGGAAAAAAAAUUAUGUUUUCUGGCAAUAUCUGUGGAGUACCACGAGAAUUAAAUCACUAGCUGAAAUAUCAUUGUAUUCCAGAUCCUUAGCAGUCCUUAGAAGCUCCCUGAAAAUGGAAGUGCACUGUGUUCUUCAUUAACAGCAGUAACAAAAAAUAAAUCCAGUCAUACUCUGGUGUAAGCAAAAUUAAUCAAAAAAACCACCUUAAAACACAUUUUAGAUUUGGCCUUAGUAUGACUGUGCAACCUACAGGUGAAUAGUGCGUACAACACUGAGCCCUGUGACUAAACUGAGAUGUACUUGUUCAGGCUAGAAGGGGGAUAGCAAAAAUCUUAGUCCAUUCAAAAAGGAACUGGCACACACCCCAUAAUUGGAGCCAGGUGAAUAUGAAUUUUCAGUUUAAGCCUUUGCCCAACUGCAGCAAAAUAAAAGUAUGAGCAAAAAAACUUGAAGCCCAAACAAACAUAUUUUAAGAAAAAUCUUUCCUGAGUAGACCAGCUCUUAAACAUUUAUGAAACAUCACAUUGAUGAGUUAAAGGAGAUUGCAGAAAAUCUGUAUAAAAAUCUUGUUUUGUAUUUGUAAAGUGAACUAACUUAUAUCAUUACAAUUUCUAAAAUCUGGUGGAGGUACCGUAUAUGAUUUUAUAAAAUUGCUUGUUCAUAUAUAACAUACCAUGCGUGAACACUUCUCUGAGUUACCUUACUCUUUCCUGUGGAUCCAGUUUUUUGGAAUAGUAAAUCUGUGGACACAUUGGCGUUUACUGUGCUUGCUAAAGGGUAUAAAAAUUUUACAUGUUAUAUUCAGUUAUUCUUGUCUCCUGACAAAAACCUCUUUCUACUCUGUCUUGAUAAAAAGGAAGGGAACAAUGUACUUACCCCAGAUACAUAGUCCAAGGUGAAAGCAAGUUCGGUCAUAUUGUCAGGAAAGGUUAUAACAUUAAAUUGAGAUUUGGCAAUUAUCACCCUGUUGUCUCAGAAGCUGAGGAUCAUUGUUGAAGGAAUGCCCACGUCUAAGAGGCUGGGAGAAAGUGGUCAAGAUGAGGUAGUAUAACCACUCCAAUAUUGAUCUUAUUUGUAGGAGGAUUCCUUUAGCAGGGUGGCUGUAAAAAGCUCACAAAUUCCACAGGAGCAACAGAAACUCAGAUCCUGGUAUUCAGACUGAGGCUCCUUUAAGCCUCAGCCUGCUGUACAUGUAUGUCACAGUAAACAGUUCUUUGUACAAGUUGUUUUGGUCCUCCUGAUUUUCUUAUUUUAUUAUUUUUGACCAAUGUGUUUUCAUAGCCUACAGAACAAGAUUUGGGACUGGCCUGGAAUAGACAAUGUCACCCUUUCCCAAAUGAUGAUGGCUUGUCCUUGUAGCUCCAGUGUCCCUUCUGCUCUUCUAGAGCAAUUAAAAUGUAGGAAUACUGUACAAACAGGCUUUUGGUAGCUCAGAGGAUUGCUGCAUUCUUUGGGGUGAUGUGCUUUUAGUAGAUCAAGAUCUCAAUGCAGAUCAAGAAAUAGCUUUUGCCACAUAGAGGCAGAAGCUGGUGGUAAUAUCUUCUGAGCCUGUGAUCUCAGUAGGCCAUCUUGACCAGCAAACCACUUAUGUCUUUCUCUUCAAUAGUUUGCUUUUUCAAGUAAAAUUCCCAUUUAGCAAAAAUAACCUACCUUUUUAUAAGUGUCCCAAGGACGCCCAAUAAUAAAAUUCUGAUGGAGCACAUGGCUAAGUGCUUAUGAGGUUCCCAUCUCUGGAUUCUUGGUGUCUGAAGCCCAGAGACCCUCACAAUAAUAGUUCAGAGACUCCAAAAAAAAAAAAAAAAAA